AACGCAAAUUUCACAUUCCCCGAAAUUACAAUAGUGAUCAAAUAUAAAUAAUUAAUAUAAAUUAAAUCGACAGUGAUUGUUAUAAAAUACAAAGUUAAUGUGUAUGUACAUUUAUAUUUCCAGGCCUGCUUCAUCCGAUUUCAAAAUAAACUGCUCAGCUCCAGCCUCGAGGGUUCGAUUCGCGGGGUAUCUUGUUGCAGUGCGUGAGAGAGGCAGCCGCGGAUAUUAAAACUGACGUUUUUUCACGCCGUUCGUUCGCUCGGGGUGAAAAAAAGUCCCGGAUCAUAUUUUUGCCUCGCUCCGCGUGAGCCCGAACUCGUUUUUUAUAGUGACUAUAAAAGAGCGUCGAAAAGUUUGAAUCCGAAAAAAUUCGUGGUCCACAUACGCUCGAAAUUACACGGACGUUAUUGGAAUCUCGAAAUAUUGGAAUUAUUACAAGUAGGCAGCUCGGAUGGUUCCUUGGAUUUUUAAGAUAAAAGUGAAGUUUGAACCUACAUGGCGUACCGUAGAGCUUGCUUAUGUCCUUCCCAGGAUGGAUGAGAUGCUGGGGCGCAGGUGGGGCUUCCUCGUCGGCACGACCGUUUAUGGUAUUUUCGAGCGUGCCACCCUUGCUGUGUGCCUUGGGGUCGUGCACCUUGAACCGCACCUCCUGGACAACACGGGACCACUUACAAGAGACACGGCAGUUCGCUUCGGGGUUUCCCCCCUUGGUUAUACGGUUUUGAUCGAAAAGGUCGUGGGAGAGCAUUCACGAUGAUACGAAACGAUGGUAAUAAACAUUCGAAGAACGUUUAGAAGCUAGUUAAAAACUGAGGAGGAAAUAAUAGCGAGGCGACUCGAGAUAAAUUUUCCCCAAAAAAUACCGGAAGUGAUUCCUGGCACGAGUUUGAAAACGAGAAAUUUCGGCGCGGUUGCUUCUUCGUUGAAGGGAAGAGAAAGGGGACAUGGUUCGAGAUGAAAGAACUGAUCCGAAGGCGACAAAUUUUCUGAAUUGAAGCAAAAUAUUUAGUUAGCGAAGAAAUAAAGUUUUCACGGAGUUAUGGACAGUCGAGAGUUGUCGAGCUGUCUUUGUAUUUGUAACCAGAAAGGUACAAAGUUGCCCUAGAACUCGGUUGGCCAGCUAACAUAAAGUAGAAACGAUUCAACACCUCCGGAGACUGGGACAACGGAUUUAUGUAUGCGACUCGGACUUUUGUCAGGAUCGUAACUCCUUGGGCAAACCCGUGGGAGCUCUAACAAAAACGUAGCAGAAGCUUUCGUGCCUUGCAACGGAGUUUCGAGCGAAAUUUCCCGUAUGAGAUAACGUCGUAGGAGAGUGGCAGUGGUCGGAGACGCGGAGAGUCUACUUUGAGAGAAUUUAAGCCUCGGACCUUCGCCAAAGGGUAUUGCAAUAUUCACGAGAACUCUCGUGUUUAUUCACGCGGUUGCCGCAACCCGGUGGUCCAUGGGAUCAGCUUUAAUUUAUUUUCACCGUAUAUCCGAGUGCGAUACUCGCUCGCUCGCUUUAGGAUGCCGAGACAUUUUCACCCAACCUCGAAUGGGCCAAAUGGUGUGAGAGAAUCGACUUUGAUAUUGAAUUAAUAAUCCUUCGAGGCUCACUCCCAUAAGAUUCCCCGGACACGUAUCUAUAAAAAUACGCGUACGCAAAGGUGCGAUUGGACGAUGCAUAAAGUCCGAGAGUCCGGGUGAGCAUCCCCUCGACAACCCUCGCUCCUCUCCCAAUUGUAAAGAUUUUUUUCUACUAUUUAGAAAGCGCAGCUUUCCAUGACAAAGUAAUCAAGGGCUGGACGUUUUUCCAGGUGCGCCCUGGAUUAAGCACGUUUAUGCGUUAAAACAAAUAUCAGCUGAGAAUUCUCAACCCCUUUGCCUGCAACGAUUUAAUAUUAAAUUCACUCAACUCUUUGAGCCCCCUCGAGACUUAAGCUGACGCAUUACCGUUUUUUUUUCCACUUCGUUUCAUUAUUCAACUACUCUGGCUGCAACGAAUUCUGGAUUUUUCGUUUUCACGUGUACGAAAAGCUGUACUCACAAGAUUUAUUCGAUGCAUGAAAAUCGUGGACAAAUAAAUUCAUGAAAAACUCCAUUUUUCACUAAUCUAUUACGGAAAUCACGAUGACGAUCUUUCCACGAUUUCAACACACUCCGAAGGAUUGUACAACGUUUAGGAAAACAUUUCCGGUCUGUGGAUUCUCUCGAAUCCGUUAUCAGCGAGCCCAAUACCUCGGCAUCUGAACUUUCGAGUUAAUCGUCCGGAAGGGAAAACAUAUGCAUCAAUGGAUCAACGUUUGUUAUCCGGCUCUUUGAGCCAGAGGCCUCGCCACAGUCCGAUUCAAAAGGAAAUGUUUCAAGUUUCGAGGAUAAUGUUGACCCAACGAAAAAGAGAUUUCGACGUUGGACCAAAAGCGAUCAGCAUGUUUCGUCAAAAUGCAGCAAAUCGGGGCACUGGAGAAAGGAUCGAAUCCAGCGUUUGAAAAAAUUCGCUUCUCUUCGUUUUUUGGAGGGUUCGGGAAAGGAAGCGAUGAGCUCGGGCACCGAGUAGCCAAGAUUGAAAUUUUGGCUUGCGAUACUCACAGUUUGUUUGGGCGCGUGGUCCCCGUGAUCACCGACACCUGGAACUCCGGGUGGUCCUGGAUUUUCUCUCGCGGCUUUCAUGCUUUCCGCUAUUUUUUGGAACCUGUUCUUCCUCAUUUGAAUCCUCUUGGCCAUAUACCCGACUGUCGCGUAUUCUGCGAACGAACGACACGGAUCCAUUAAAAAAAUCCUGUUAAAUGGGCCUAAGCUACACGAGGGCUCGUAACUCAAAGUAAAAUCAGAAUGUUUUGAGACAUUUUUACUGAAAAUAAUAGUACGGAAUGGGCAUAAGAGAAUGGAACAUUGAGUUCCAUCGUUCUGAGGGCUUAGAAGAAAAAAUGGAAAUUUUUUUUUUCACGGAUCCCGAGUGAUGGGAGGCUUUGAAAAACGAUGCAGGCCGCUGGAGAGAGAACAGUGGAUUGGCGAGCUCGAGAAAAGCUGAAUAAAAAAACGAGAAUUCACAAAGCCGGCCGAGUAUGGUACAAGAUCGGAUGAUAAUCGGUACAAAUAAUGUACACGGGCAAGUGAAGCAAUGCACGAGUGGAGGUCGAAGGGUGAAUUAUAAUUAGCGAGGGCGUAAUCGGGUCGCCAAUUUUAGGCCUUAAAGGGGUAGUUUGCUGUUGCUGUUGAGUAUAAAGAGAGAUAGAAGGAAGGGGGAAAGAGGGUCGUCGGUUAAUAUACGUCCCGAGGAUCCAGUCUUGGUUCGGUGCUUUGUGGAUCCGCGUCAUCGAGAAGAAGAAGAAGACGACGGUGACGACAACCCUGACGAGGUGGAUGACGUACACACGGGCUAGAGAAACGGUUGAUGUUGACGCUGACACCGGGUACGACGUGAACUUUGGACCCUCCGUUUGUGUUGUAUCGUUGAGCCUCGACGAGAAACACCGACGCGUUUCACCACAGAAGCUUCGUACUCCUCUUUAACGUUCACCGCAGCAACGUGUUGAUUUCAUCGAAUAUAAAUAUCGUCGAAGGAGGAAAAUCGUCUUCGCAGUCACGUUGCAGCUUGUGUUUCUCUCUGGAUGAAUCGAUGACGAAUGACAGUCGCUUCGCUUCAUCAGCAGCUGGCGUUUGAUCGAAUUUUUGUUCGUUAAAAACUUGACGAUUGAAACACGAUACUUUAUUAAGCAUAGACACGAUGACGAGGAUAAUUGAGAAGUUGGAUAAAAAUAGUGAAUGAUGGAAUGACCCAUAGACGUAAAUACACAUAGAGAAGGUGCCUC
rnacentral:lncRNA from 1 species